rnacentral:rRNA from 1 species
AAUGGCCUGCGUCCGAUUAGCUUGUUGGUGAGGUAAAAGCUCACCAAGGCGACGAUCGGUAGCUGGUCUGAGAGGAUGAUCAGCCUGACUGGAACUGAGAACGGUCCAGACCCCUACGGGAGGCAGCAGUAGGGAAUUUUCCACAAUGGGCGAAAGCCUGAUGGAGCAACGCCGCGUGCAGGAUGAAUGCCUUCGGGUUGUAAACUGCUUUUAUUAGUGAAGAAUAUGACGGUAACUAAUGAAUAGGGGUCGGCUAACUACGUG